rnacentral:lncRNA from 1 species
GGCUAUCUCACCCCUGCCCAGCCCCAGGCCGGCUCACCUGCCCUCGGACUCCAGCCGGACCUCUCCCCCUUGCACCCCUGGCAUGCAUGAUUGUGCUGCCCACCGUCUGCCCCGUGCCUCGCAGAAACUGGCGCGAGGAGGGAGAAGCUUGGCUACUGGUGCCUAAGCUCCGUGGGCUCUGGGCCUUGGCCCAGCGGUGAGAACUCAGGUGUAGGAGGAAGAGGAGGAAGGCGGAAAACCCUCCAACCCUGUCCUCGCCGUCUUUCCUCAGGGUCUCCCACCCACUCCUCCCUUUCUCUUCCCUGUUGUCUUUCCCUCUUUUUCCGGUCUCCGAGCCUCAGGCAGCUUUAGCCUGGUUCCCUGUAGAGCCCUAGCAGGGUCGGGGAGACACUUCGAUCCUUCGUCCUCACUUUGCAGAACGGGACACCGAGGCCCGGGGCGGCGGCGCUGCCUCGGCUGCACCUGGAUCAUUUGCGCCCGCGUUGGCUCCCUUUGCUCUCCUCUGCCUUAGACUUUUCUGCGGACUGGUGCUGAGUGUUGCCCAACCGCGCCGAGAUCUGGGCGCCGGUCUCUCGAUCUGGACUCGGUUUGGCUCGUCCUCCUCUGUAAUCGCGUGUCUUUAGGCUCCAGCAGGGCCCGGGGCCACACUUCCCCACUCCCACCGCUAACUUGGGGAUCAGUGACUCUCCCAUUGCUGACUAGCAGGGCGAGGCAUUUUUAUUUUCUGCGAAACGCGAUGAGGGCGGGGAUGCUAUGAUAUUGAGGCUGGGGUCGCAGCGCAGCAGCUGCCGGCCAUAGGGCCAGGGGUCUCCGUGGCGAGCGAAGGCUCAUCUCCCCGCGGAACGCGACCGCAGGCUUGCGGUGUGGCCGCCCUGGAAUGUUGGCGCCGUCGUGUCCCUGUCCCCCUUUCGUCGCCAGCUGAGGUGCAGGUCUUGCUCAAGAAGGCGCUUCGACCUGAAAGCAGGCCUUUCAGGAGAAAUGGCUUGAGAAAGACAUGUUGAAGAGGAAAAAUACGUUAAGCACAGAGAUUUCUUAAUUGCUUGAAGUACAGGCCCAGGCAUAGAAUUGGAUUUGGUUACCACUUGCCAACUGUCUUAGAAUCUGAAGACUCCAGCUCUAGUUCCCGACUCUGACACCUACUAGCUCUGCAACUUUACGGAAACCACUUACCUCUCUGAGCCUCAGUUUCCUCCUCUGUGAAAUGGGCUGGUAAUAUCUAUGGCAUAAACACUUCAUUGAUGGUAUGGGACCAGCUGAGGCUACAAGUGUAAAAAUAUUGUUUGAAAAUGUUAAUUGCUAUUUGAUUAUAAGGACAUAGUCUUAUUAAUAUGAUCAAAUCUCUUGCUAGCUUAUUGGUUUUCAUAGUAGGAGAUGUCACUUGCUGUGCGAUCUUGGACAAGUCACUGAACUCCUCUGAGCUGCACUCGUCUCCCCUGUAACAUGGGGAGUGUAGACUUGAUUACUUAAAUCUCCCGACAUCGUACAAGUCUAUGCUGAUGCCGAGCUUUCCUUGAAAACUGGAAAAAGCACAGGCUUUGAAGUGUGAUGGACUGGGGUUAAUCCCCUGCUUCACAGCUUGCUUUCUUUUUGUCUCUCUGUACCCAUAAGGAUUAUCUCAGAAUGAUCUGGGUAUUUUUGAAAAGUAACAGCAGCUUGGCUGAAAGACAAUUUUGUCCAUAAUAAGACAUCAGCUGUGAGCAGAGUUCUGCAGUGGCAGAAAACGGAUCAGGCAGAGAUUCAGGUUAUAAUUUCCAAACUCCAGUGGCCCACUUGGUAGAACCAGUUUGCAUUUGUAUGUUGAAUUUUUGUUGACUAAAUAACAGUGAUCCAAGAGCUGAGAUGGUUUAUUGGUCCUCUUGGGGAGGGCUGUAUUGCUGUCAAGGUGUGGAUAAAGCAUUUCAGGCAGGCCUGCCGCUGGCCCCUGGCCCAGUGGUGUACAGCUGUGUCAAUAGGCCUUUGAAGUCCACGCACACCAGCUGACUGGUCAGCAGCCCCUGGGAUGGUCUCUACAACCUUCGUCACAGGAAAUUGGGAAAGGCAUGUGGAAGCUAGCAUUGCUGGAAGGGGAGGAGAAGAAAACUGUUGGGAUCUUUGAUGAAAACAUGGGAGAAAUUUACCAAAAUUCACAGGCUGAGCCCAUCAGCAGGAUCUGGGAUUGUUGAUCACUGCUCUCCUUCUUUCUGGCUCCAGAUCAAUGUGAUGAGCUGGUUUAUCUUUAUUCUGACUCGAAUAUGUGCCAGCUAGCGCUUCUGUGAGGCCUCAGUAUAGUGAUAGUAUGCUGGAGGCGCUGGUGGUGCUGCAAGAUUCACAGAGAGCUUCUGAAUCAUUAAAACGUGAACAACCCCUGUUCAGAAGAAUUUUAAUGCAAAAUAUUUUUCAUUUUUAUUUUUUCGUCUUUUCUGAUAUUCUACAUUCUGGGGCACUGGCCUCUUCCCUGCCCCAGGAUUUUCCCCAUGUGCAGGUGCUUCAUCAUCACAUGAUCUCAUUUAAUCUUCACAACAUCCCUGAGGUAUGUUGUCUUCAAUCCCCCUUUGGCAAAAGAGGAAAUGGAAGCUCUGGUUAAAACUUGGUGAAGAUAACACAGCUUAGCAGGAAACCCUGAGCUGUCUGACUCUCAAGCCUGUGUUGGGAAAUCCUGCCCUGUGCUGCCUCUUGUUGCAGAGAUCCUAUCUGGAUAAAGUGCUGGGUAACCAGGAAUCAGAACCUCUGGAGGACGAGUAUGACUUCUUUUCUGUCCCUGCUGCUCGAGUUCAAACCCUCACCAUCCUCUCCUCCUCUUCCCUGUUCUUGCUCUGUACCUCCACUCCGUCACUGAGUCUUGACACUUUGGCCCAGUGUCCCCCCUUGCACCCCUGCCUUUUCAUUCUUACCCUUGUUGCCACACACCUGGGGCACUGCCGUAGCUGGCAGCUCCCUUUCUCACCAGUCUUUCCCUUUUCCAUCUUUUCCACUAACCCUGCCAGACUCAUCUUCCUUUAACACUGCUUUGUCCUAUUUCAUUAAAAAUAUCCCAGGGACUCAUGAGAUAAAGUCAAGACUCAGUGCUUGACCUGACACAGCCCCCAGUCCCCCCAGGUAGACCUCAAAGCUUCUACAUUCGUUCUUUUUCACGCUGCUGAUAAAGACAGACUUGAGACUGGGCAAUUUACGAAAGAAAGAGGUUUGUUGGACUUAUGGUUCCAUAUGGCUGGGGAGACCUCACAAUCACAGUGGAAGGCAAGGAGGAGCAAGUCAUGUCUUACAUGGAUGGCAGCAGGCAAAACAGUUUGUGCAGAGAAACUCCCAUUUUUAAAACCAUCAGAUCUUGUGAGACCCAUUCACUAUCAUGAGAACAGCAUGGGAAAGACCCAUCCCCAUGAUUCAAUCACCUCCCACCAGUUCCUCCCAUGACAUAUGGGAAUUAUAGGAAUUGUGGGAGUUACAAUUCAAGAUGAGAUUUGGGUGGGGACACAGUCAAAACAUAUCAACUCCUUUCCAGCCUUGCCCAUCACUUCCUGCAAUAACUUGAUGUUGCCUGGGAUUUUCUGACUUCAGCAUCUUUGCUCAUGAGGUAUCUUCUACCUAGAAUGUGACCUUCCCACCCAACCUCCCCUCUGCUAAAAAUCUCAUCAUGGUCUGCCUGAAGUGGCCUGUCUUUAAUGAAGCUUUCUCCAGUCACCUUGCAGGAAUGAUCCCCCCACCUUGAACACUUUGAAACACUUAAACAGUACUUCUCAUAUGUUGCUUCACUGUAAUUAUUUGAGUGCCAACAUUUCCUCCCUAUAUACCAAUGUGAUGAUGGAACCCAUGUGUGUGUAUCCCCCACUGUGGUCAUUAGCAUAGUGCCUUAUAUGUAGUGGUCCCUUUGUUGCAUGUAAACUAAUGAACAGUGAAAAGCAAAUAAUAAGAAAUAAAUCAUUUAUUGUUUCCCAUGUGUCAGACAGUAUUCUUAGUGCUAUUCAAAGUAAUAAUUUAAUUCUCGCAAUAACCCUAAGAGGUAGAUGAUAUUGUGUCUCCAUUAUAGAGAUGAAGAAGCGAAGGCAUGGUGAGCUGAGCUGGUCAAAGAAUUAGUGAUUGACCCAGGAUUCAAAUCUGAGCAAUCUGCCUCCAGGACCUAGACUCCCGCUGUAGGUAGCUUUCCAGCACUCU